GAUUGAUCCUGUCUUCUCCAUCUUCAGUCUUGCUCACCACUGCUGCAAUCUGCAUCCUUAUACCGCCUCACUCUGAUACUACUUGUUGGGUGGAUGUUUGACCAGGAUACCACCUUCUAAGACUUUUUUGGUACUACUCGAUGCAGCAAGAAGAAAGAAGAAUAAAAUAAAAAAUAAUCAAAAUAUGUGGAUCAACCAAAAAAA
rnacentral:lncRNA from 1 species